rnacentral:rRNA from 1 species
CUCGAUGUUGCUGUCAAAAGACUCAGCACAUCUUCACAUCAAGGCCUAUCAGAGUUCCGAGCUGAGAUUGAAGUCAUUCCGAAUCUUCGACAUAAAAAUAUAAUUUCGCUACUUGGGUUUUGUGUUCAAGGAAAAGAAAAGAUACUUGUCUAUGAAUAUAUGUCGAACAAUAGCUUGGCAGCCGUCAUUUCUGAUGAGUCAAAAAGGAAAUUGCUUAAUUGGUCAAAGCGUCUUCAAAUAAUCAA